GUGAACGCUGGCGGUAGGCCUAACACCUGCAAGUCGAACGGCAGCACAGUAAGAGCUUGCUCUUACGGGUGGCGAGUGGCGGACGGGUGAGGAAUACAUCGGAAUCUACUUUUUCGUGGGGGAUAACGUAGGGAAACUUACGCUAAUACCGCAUACGACCUACGGGUGAAAGCAGGGGAUCUUCGGACCUUGCGCGAUUGAAUGAGCCGAUGUCGGAUUAGCUAGUUGGCGGGGUAAAGGCCCACCAAGGCGACGAUCCGUAGCUGGCCUGAGAGGAUGAUCAGCCACACUGGAACUGAGACACGGUCCAGACUCCUACGGGAGGCAGCAGUGGGGAAUAUUGGACAAUGGGCGCAAGCCUGAUCCAGCCAUACCGCGUGGGUGAAGAAGGCCUUCGGGUUGUAAAGCCCUUUUGUUGGGAAAGAAAAGCAGCAGGUUAAUACCCCGCUGUUCUGACGGUACCCAAAGAAUAAGCACCGGCUAACUUCGUG
rnacentral:rRNA from 1 species